rnacentral:lncRNA from 1 species
CUGCGCUGUUCAUGCCUAGCCACAUAUGCUCCUGCAGUUGCUGCACUCUGUAGAAUUAGAACCAGGUCUGUCUCUGACAAUUAGCUCAACUGGCUGCAGCAUAAAUAAAGGAAUUCGCUCAGGGGCUGUAGUCUGUGACACGGUUUAACAGAGCGUAAAAAGGUGCAUCUGUUCCAUGCCCAGAGUCAGUCGCUGCACUGUCACUGAGAAGUUACCGACACCAAGACAUGCCUGUGCUGUUUGGUAAACAAGCAGCAGUUUCAGAAAUGCUUCAGCAGGGGUCGUGUGUAGUGGCCUGUGUAGUCACGUGUCACCUUGGAAUCUCCCGUGCAGCCAGUGCAGAAGCCCCUGGCCCUCCUCCGGGAGAUCUUCCAGCCCCACCUGCGUUCCUGCCGUCCAGACCCAUCUCUCACUGCUGGCGAGCUCUGUGCAGCUGCCUGGGUGGAGGAGUGGGGUGCAGGGGCGGGGAUGAGGGCGGGAGGAUGAGGCUGAGCUCCUCUCUCUCCUGCUUUGUCCAAAUGAGAGGCUUAAGCAGGAAAGUAUCUCGUCCAGAGAGUUGGUGAUGCCUGAGACUCUCUUUAUCUUUGUAACAUCUUUUCUGUAUGAAGUUUAAUAAGCCAGCUGUGCCAUUUUUAAAAAGCCAGUGGGUUCCAUUUUUCAUUUGUGCGCCCCUCCUUUGGCUCUGAACUUUCACUCCCUGUUUCCUUACCUUCCCCCUUCGUUUUUCCUUUAUCCCAGAGGAGUUCCCUGAGUAGCAAGACUGGAAAAGAGCUGAGGUUUAUGUUAGAAGAAAUUAAGGUUAAUGAUCAUUGGCUCAUUUUCAUAUUCUGUGGGUGUGGAUGGAGGAGUAAUCAGUGCAGGUGGCCCUGCCAGUUGGGAGUUUCCUUUGUCAUCAAGAAAAUAAGGAGAGUGCAGGGAUUGAAUUACCACAACUAUUUCAGGACUAAACAUAUUUCAUUUCCCGAUCGGGUCUGGUUUAAGGACACAAAGCUGACAUUAAUUUUAUCCAAAGAAAGCACAGCAAUUUUUUUUUGUUUUAUAAUUUGACUGAAUGCAUAGGGUAGAUGCAUGUUCAAAUUUAAUUCUAGUAUAAUCUUACAAAUAAUUCUCCAAAAAGCGAAAGGUUUUUGAUUCAGUUUGACAGUUUAUGUUUCUGUGCCCAAUUACCACUUAGUUAUUGAAUGUUAAAGAGCUGCUUUUUAAAAUGUGCUCUCUUGACUGUGCCAAUUGGCUUCCAGCUGCCUGCUAUUACGUGUGCGGCGCUCCCUUCUGUCUUUGCAAAGGAUGUACACAUUUGAAGGAGUUAUGUUUAGCCAGCAAAGGAAGUGGGGGAUUUGGUUAGGAAGUGCGAGAUGGCCUUGAAAAACUGUCUGUGUGCCUUCUAAUUUCAGCCAUAUAAAGACCAUUCUUUAAAGAAUAUUGAAAUGCCCAGAUAAACUGGGAAAAUAACCUUGACUUUUUAAAAAAUGACUUCUAUUUGGAACUGUUCCAUAAAGUUUUUGGUGUUUUUAAUACCACUGAUGUAAUUUCUCCAAGUGAGAUACUCUGAUUCCAUACAUGGACAGGAGGAUGUGAAAAGCUGACUAGAGACAAUAAAAAUCAUUGAGGAAGAAUAUCGACACUUGCCAUGCAUGGCAGGUUUUGCUUUUUUAGCAGAACGCAGCAGGUUGCUCAAGUGACCUGAUUUGUUUUUGAGGCACAAGGUUUAUUUGGCUGUUGCAGCAUGAGUGUAAUAUUAAUGAUGCUCGUGUAAAAUUAACUUUAAUGUUGUGUGAGCAUUUUUCUUGCCUCUUCUAUAAAAUUGCAGGGAUUUCUUUGUGUAUUUAUGUACUUAGUUUCUGUUGUGAAUACAUAACUUCCUGUAGGCCAUAAAAACUUGGUAUAAGUAGGUAGUUGGGCCGGUACAAGUAAAGGUGGGCUAAGCUUUUCAUGGACCCAUGGUAUGAAUCCGCAUGCAGCUGAAUAUUCAUUGCAUGGCUAGUAAUAUAAAUUCUCUGUCUAGCUUAUUAAUAACACUUGAAGAGACCUUUCUCAAAUAUUCAGAGGGCAAGAAUGUUUUAGUGGUUUCUGGAAGCUCCCUGCUGUGAAGAAAUAAAGUUUUAAAAAGUGAUUAAAAAUGAAUUUUGAAGUAGCACUUUAAAAUAUUUUUAAAAGAAAUACGGUAUUUUUAAGAAGAUUCUUGACAAGGUAAGACUUACUGAGUGAAAGCUAUAUGAUUUCCAAAUUUAUCAUUAAGUAAACCAUGUUCGUGGAAGAAACAUUAAAUAAAAAUACCCAAUAAUUUUUUUCCUUGGGCAGCAUUUCUUCUUACUUGCUGCUUUGCUUUUGUACUGAAUCCCACUCAUUUUGUCUCUAUAUUGAUAAAUCUUAAACUUGCCUCACUGCAUUUUCUGAAAGCUUUUCACAAAAGCCACUUACAUUAUGACCGCUUACAUCUGGCAUUAGCCAAGAAAAGAACAAUUAUGAAUUAAUGCAGUCCGUGUUUUAGUAUUUAUCAGUUAUACAUUAGGAAUAUUCAUAAAAACAGGUAAUUUAAUAUUUUACUUGUGUGUAAGUUUGAUUCUUCACAUCAGUCAUAGCUUCAGAC